AGCGUUCCUGUCAGCGUCGAAGCAGUUCGGUAACGAACUGUGGAGCGGCAGGAAGUGAUUAUGCCGGUUUGAGUAACGAUAAAGCAGGUGAGAAUCCUGCUCGCCGAAAACCUAAGGUUUCCUGGGCAAGGUAAAUCCGCCCAGGGUUAGUCGGACCCUAAGGCGAGGCCGAAAGGCGUAGUCGAUGGGAAUCAGGUUAAUAUUCCUGAACCACAGCGUGGUGACGGACCCCUAAGUCGAGUCGCGCGGCUAGAUGUGCGCGUACCGCAAGGUCGAGGGCUUGGACCGAAGCUCGCGGAUGGGGUUCCCCGAAAUAGCCCGCAAACAGUGACCGUACUAAAACUGACACAGGUAGGUGUGGUGAAUAACCUCAGGCGCUCGAGAGAAUGGUAGUUAAGGAAUUAGGCAAAUUGACCCCGUAAGUUCGCGAUAAGGGGGCCCUCCCGCUUCGGCGAAGGGCGCAGAGAAAAGGUGCUGGCGACUGUUUAUCAAAAACACAGGGCUCUGCGAAGCCGCAAGGCGACGUAUAGGGUCUGACGCCUGCCCGGUGCCUGAAGGUUAAAAGGA
rnacentral:rRNA from 1 species